AGACGAACCGUCCAAACGUUAUUCGGAAUCACUGGGCUUAAAGGGUGCGUAGGCGGCCGUGCAAGUCGGGUGUGAAAGCCCUCAGCUCAACUGAGGAACUGCGCCCGAUACUGUGCGGCUAGAGGGAGACAGAGGUGAGCGGAACUUGCGGUGGAGCGGUGAAAUGCGUUGAUAUCGCAAGGAACACCAGUAGCGAAAGCGGCUCACUGGGUCUCUUCUGACGCUCAGGCACGAAAGCUAGGGGAGCGAAGAGGAUUAGAUACCCUCGUAGUCCUAGCUGUAAACGUUGAGCACUGGGUCGGAGCGUCCUCCAUAGCGUUCCGGCCGUAGCGAAAGUGUUAAGUGCUCCGCCUGGGGAGUAUGGUCGCAAGGCUGAA
rnacentral:rRNA from 1 species